AGAGUUUGAUCCUGGCUCAGGAUGAACGCUAGCGAUAGGCUUAACACAUGCAAGUCGAGGGGCAGCAUGGUCUUAGCUUGCUAAGACUGAUGGCGACCGGCGCACGGGUGCGUAACGCGUAUGCAACUUGCCUCACAGAGGGGGAUAACCCGUCGAAAGACGGACUAAUACCGCGUACACUCUAGGUCGGGCAUCCGACUCAGAGGAAAUGAAUUUCGCUGUGAGAUAGGCAUGCGUCCCAUUAGCUAGUUGGUGAGGUAACGGCUCACCAAGGCGACGAUGGGUAGGGGAACUGAGAGGUUGAACCCCCACACUGGUACUGAGACACGGACCAGACUCCUACGGGAGGCAGCAGUGAGGAAUAUUGGUCAAUGGGCGAGAGCCUGAACCAGCCAAGUCGCGUGAAGGAUGACUGUCUUAUGGAUUGUAAACUUCUUUUGUAGGGGAAUAAAGACUGGCACGUGUGCUGGAGUGAAUGUACCCUACGAAUAAGCAUCGGCUAACUCCGUGCCAGCAGCCGCGGUAAUACGGAGGAUGCGAGCGUUAUCCGGAUUUAUUGGGUUUAAAGGGUGCGUAGGCGGCCUGUUAAGUCAGCGGUGAAAUCUAGGGGCUUAACUCCUAAAUUGCCAUUGAUACUGGUGGGCUUGAGUGUAGAUGAGGUAGGCGGAAUGCGUGGUGUAGCGGUGGAAUGCAUAGAUAUCACGCAGAACUCCAAUUGCGAAGGCAGCUUACUAAGGUACAACUGACGCUGAAGCACGAAAGCGUGGGUAUCAAACAGGAUUAGAUACCCUGGUAGUCCACGCAGUAAACGAUGAUAACUGGGCGUAUGCGAUAUACAGUAUGCUCCUAAGCGAAAGCGUUAAGUUAUCCACCUGGGGAGUACGCCGGCAACGGUGAAACUCAAAGGAAUUGACGGGGGCCCG
rnacentral:rRNA from 1 species